rnacentral:ncRNA from 1 species
ACCUAUAAGCGUUUGAGAAAUGGAGUGACACAGAAGGAUAGGUUAAGCGUACCGUUGGUUGAGUACGUCCAAGCCAGUAGGGAGUUUUCAUAGGCAAAUCCGUGGAAACAAUCCUGAGAGGUGAUGGGGAGUGAAAAUAAGUAGCGAAGUAACUGACUCCAUGCUGUCGAGAAAAGCUUCUAUCGAGCAAGUAGGUACCCGUACCGCAAACCGACACAGGUAGGCGAGGAGAGAAUCCUAAGACGAGCGGAAGAACUCUUGUUAAGGAACUCGGCAAAAUAACCCCGUAACUUAGGGAGAAGGGGUGCCGGAGCAUGUGAAAGAUGCACAUCUGGAGCAUGAACCGGCCGCAGUGAAUAGGCCCAAGCGACUGUUUAUCAAAAACACAGGUCUCUGCUAAAUCGAAAGAUGAAGUAUAGGGGCUGACGCCUGCCCGGUGCUGGAAGGUUAAGGGGAAGUGUUAGACAUUAGUCGAAGCAUAGAACUUAAGCCCCAGUAAACGGCGGCCGUAACUAUAACGGUCCUAAGGUAGCGAAAUUCCUUGUCGGGUAAGUUCCGACCCGCACGAAAGGCGUAACGAUUUGGGCACUGUCUCAACAAGAGAUCCGGUGAAAUUGUAGUACCAGUGAAGAUGCUGGUUACCCGCGACAGGACGGAAAGACCCCGUGGAGCUUUACUGCAGGCUGACAUUGGAUUUUGGUAUUAUAUGUACAGGAUAGGUGGGAGACUUAGAAACCAGGGCGCCAGCUUUGGUGGAGUCAUCGUUGGGAUACCACCCUUAUAA